UCAAAUCCAAAAUGCGGUAAAACACUAC
rnacentral:piRNA from 1 species